GCCGAAGUGGCGGAAUGGUAGACGCAGCGGACUCAAAACUCGUCGUGUCAAGUCACCUUCCGGCG
rnacentral:tRNA from 1 species